UACAGAGGUCUCAAGCGUCGUUCGGAUUCAUUGGGCGUAAAGGGUGCGUAGGUGGCGCGGUAAGUCGGGGGUGAAAUUUCGGAGCUUAACUCCGAAACUGCAUUCGAUACUGCCGUGCUUGAGGACUGGAGAGGAGACUGGAAUUUACGGUGUAGCAGUGAAAUGCGUAGAUAUCGUAAGGAAGACCAGUGGCGAAGGCGGGUCUCUGGACAGUUCCUGACACUGAGGCACGAAGGCCAGGGGAGCGAACGGG
rnacentral:rRNA from 1 species